rnacentral:lncRNA from 1 species
GCCCCCUGGCGGAGCAGCCUGCCGGGCCGGGCCGGGAGCCGCCGGAGCUGGAACUGGUGCCGGUGUCGGUCCCGCUGCCGCGCCCGCCGCUGCUGGGGGAGGCGGUGCCCGCGCCGCGCCCCCGCGCCCCGCCCGCCCCCGGCAGCAGCAGCAGCGGUAGCGGCAGCCUCAGCACCUCCGCCAGCUCCUCCGGCAGCUCCAGCGCCAGCACCAUGGACCUCUCCUUCAUGGCCGCGCAGCUUCCUGUUAUGGGAGGAGCCUUUAUGGACUCACCCAACGAGGACUUUAGUACAGAGUACUCCUUGUUUAACUCAUCAGCGAACGUCCAUGCAGCUUCUUCCAUGCAGAAUCCACCAGAAGAGACAUCCCGUUCUUCAAAUGAUGCAAUAUUGUUGUGGAUUGCAAUAAUAGCAACAAUUGGAAAUAUUGUGGUUGUGGGAGUGGUGUAUGCCUUCACCUUCUAGGAUGACUCACUGCAAACACUGGAAGAGAGGAUAACUGCAACAAUAUUUGUCAUGUGUAUGUGUGUAUAUAUAUGUAUAUCUAUAUAAAUACAUAUAGGUAGGGACAUUGUUGGUUAAGUGCAACUGCAAUCAUGGAAAUUAAAUGCAAGUUAAUCAUCUUGAAUCUCAAUGGCAGAAAGUUUGGAUGCAAUUGCAAGUUGUGUGGAGGUGAGAGAUUUAAUUGAGAACAGAGCCAAUACCAGUUUUGUAUAGAAAUGUAAUGAAAGAGAGACCAACAUAAAUACAAAGUGAGAUUUAUAUAGACAAGUGCUUAUUUUCUACUAUUUAGAUUUUUCCAGCAGUUCUUCUGCAUUUUGCCAGCUUUUUUGUGCAUUUUUUACUGUGGUAUAAUGCUGUAUGAAAUUGUUCUAUGUUAUGCUUGCUGGUCAUCUUGGUUUUCCAGGUGGACUAAAUGGCUGGCAUUGGCUCAGUUCUGAUGAAGUACACGUUCAUAGUGUGUGAGCAUUUGGCACGUGCAUACACUGCUAGGCUGUGUUCAAAUUCAUGAGUCUGAAAGCUAUGACAGGCAGAUGCAUGCUAUCUAACACUUGCCUUCCACUGUCAGUUGCUGCAUCUGAUAAUGUAUGAAUUGAUGCUAAACCUGUCUGCUGUUUGCAGGAGGAGACACAGCUAUUGCAAGGUGUGGCUGAUCUGCAGAUCUCCUGCACUCCAGGGGAGGAAGUGGUAAACAGAGCAGCAGCACAAGCUCCCAUUUCUGUUUGGAGGUACUGGAUUGCAGUGGUUCAUAGACGUGUCUCUUCCAGGAAACAGAGGCCAAAUACCAUGCUUUUCAGCUCAUUUCACUGUAAUCCAGAUUUCCUACAAUAGCCAUGUAUUUCCAUUAGCUUAUUGGUGUAUCAAAAGAACGUGGGGAAACUGCAAAGCCUGAUAAAUAGUAAAAGAUAUCUAUGAGAAAAAUAGAAUUGAAAGAAAGAUUUGACGCUUGCGUGCUCGCACGGGAGUGAGCACAAGAGUCAGGUAUGUUCUGGGAUAGAAACAGCACAAAAAAGGUAGUAAGUGACAGAUAUGCAAGUGCUUAUAUUUCAGUAUUAAGAUGUGUCUGUGUUCUGAUGGGGCUUCUGCAAGUGAUUUUUAUAUAGCCUGCUUUAGGUAACAGCUCCAAUUAUCACUUGGAUUUGUUCUGUUGGGGGACAGCAUCUUCACUGCAUUGUUCCCACAGGCAGUUCCUUUUCAAGAGCUGUAUCUUUUCAAAACAAGCUGUAGCCUUCCUUGCUUCAGAGAUUAUAGAAUCCUGAGGGAAGAAAAAAAUAAUCACCUCUGUUGGAAAUCUUCCUCUUCCCUCUUAAAAAAUAAACACAAAUACAUAAAAUGUCUGCACUUUGAGAGUAACAGACAAAUUCUUCAUCUGUAUCUGCAUGUAUAGGUUUUCUGUCUCAUACAGCUACUACUCAGAAAUUCCAGAAUGCCGUUUCUGCAGGCACAGAGACUAUUUUUGACACUUGCCUGCCACUGAUCUUGAGGCUGGACAAAGAGCUGCUGAAUGUGGAGAGAGAGUUGGAUUUUCUUCUUUUCUCUGUAAACCCAUUUUCCUCCAGGGCUGGUGGAUAGUUACUUGAAUCAAAGCAGCAUGCCCCAAAUCAGUAUUUAUAACGACUUGUCAGUAUCUUUUUUUUUGCACCCUAUGAACUGAGCUUUAAAGCUGGAAAGAUGCAAACAGAGCUAGGGGGGAGAAAAAGGGGAAGUAGAGACGAAACUAAGUUUUUGAGGAUGAGAAAUACAGUGACAACUCACUUUAGCUUCUGUGUGUGUAGUUAUUUCCUUGUUUGGAGGCAGGAUUUUGUGAAGAUGGCUGAGGACAGACAAGAUCUGUGCUGGGAAAAAGUUUGAGAAGCCCUGUUCUGGAAGAACAGUGGGGCAGAAAGCAAAUUCUGUCUAAUAAAAUAGAUGUUGUCUUAAGAGCAAUACACAAAUGAUGAUUUUCACAGGCCUAAAAUAGCUAUUUGUUCCUUCAUAGGCAGAGGGUAAUAAAAACCAGGGGAGCUUCAUAAACUCUGUCCUUUUCCCGUUCUUACACUCCUGUUUAUUCUUCCUAAGCAGAAAGGAAGCCGUUAAGUGAGGAAGGCUACAGAAAAGUUUGCAAUGCAGAAUUGAGCAGGACAGUGUCUGGUGUAUGAACAUGUAGGACUCAUGGAAAUACUGCUUAAUGUAAUGUGCUGUCCCCAGCCAUGUUCUGAUGGCUUACCUUCGUGAUGAUUACCUUCAUAAUUGUAUCAGUUACUUAGGGAUUUUUCUUCAGUGCUUCUGUAAUUAGGCCAGACCUUGCAAGCACUGUUUUUGUAUGAAGAGCAAAACAUUUCCACCUUGAUUAAAACCAGUUUGACACUUUGGUACUUGCCAAAUAGGAUUAUUGUUCUGCUUAAUGAAUUUUCCAGAGGAGUGCUUUGUUUAAGUUUCCUAUAAUAUUAAUAUUAGUGCAAUUAACAAUGUUUGCAUCUCUCUUCUGGAGUGCUGGACUAAAUUCUUCACCCAUGAAGAAGAGUGUGAGAGUGGGAACAGCAAAGAAACAUCACUUUGCUCAUGAAACCAAGUGACAUUUUUGUGUUGCUUUUCCCAAAGAAAGUGCCCUACUUACUUUCAUGUGAAAUUGAUAUAGGAGUGUUAGAAAACAAUGAAUUCUGCCUCCCGCAUCCAGAUCAUUGUCAUAUAUAUUUUUAUCAUUAGAGGCUGAGUUGUCAAGAAGGGUGAGACAGAACUUUAAUUAAAGUAAUAAAUUUGACAGGGUGGCAUAACAAACUGGGUACAGGCAGCAAGUGCAAGCAUUUCCUGUCUCAUAGUUAAACUGCACAGUAAUUGUGCAGCUUUUCUCUUGGGAAAACUGUUAGGUUUAGGAUGCAGGUACAAGGAUACUGCCUUUAGAUCUCUAAAUCGCACUGGGCAGAACUGGUUCAAAUUCUGAUCUACUUUGAUAUUUAUAACAAGCACACUAUAUUUUUGGAUUUCGUGUUCUGGCUCCAUCCACUACAACCACUUCCAUCUUCUGGGAGGCUAGGGAAGGUUUGAAUUCAGCUGCUGAAAAAGGGUAUUUACUUAUUCAUCAUUAAAUUCAGAGAAGCCACAGAAGGGAACAGAGAAGUAGAUGAAUGGUGGAUGUCAUACAUAUGGUCCUGUGAAAUGUGUUACCACUUCUUGAUGUGGGUGUAUGUUAUACCCUGAACUAUCAGCACAGCUUGACUUAGAGCACUGUAGUUUCUCCUUUCGUUGGAGCCAGGCAGUUGGAUAACUGCUGUCACUCAGUGAGGGGUGACAAGAGCGCCCAGCCGCAUUCCCCAGAGCUGUUCGCUGAAGCUCUUUGGGAAAGGCAGAAGAGAGCUCUGUGCUUUGAUGAGCCUUUUGUGUGUCAGCAUGAGAGCAGGAUUCUGCUUGUGGAAGAUCUGUGCUUUAAAUGUAAGCGUCUAGCACUGAUAACAGUUACAAGAUCUUAAUUGGAGUUUGUUCAGUAGCAGACAAAGCAAAACACUUUAUGCAGUGUUGGACCUCUAGUUCUCUUGAGAUCUUCCUCAUACAAACAGAAGAAGAAAUAGUGUAUGUGCUCUGCAAAGUUAUUAAUGAGCCAUGGGAAGCAAGGAGACAAACUGAAUCGCCUAACAAGUCUCUUCUAGCCAUGGCAACAGAUAAAAUUAUCAAGCUUUCUCUUUUUGCUCUGAGCAGUCAGAAGCUAAACACAGCAGCGGCGCAGCCACCACAGCAGAGACUAAAGGCUGAACAAUUAUAAAGGUGGGUGAAACCCACACAGCUACUGCUGUUAUAUUGUUCCCUGUAGGGCUAGGAGGCUGUGCUUGUCCACAGCAUUAACAUCCUCCAAAAAUAAAAUGAGGGAGGGGGAUGUAUUUCUGUGUCAACACACCUGCAAAACUGAAAACCAGAUUUUGAAACUGAUACACUGAUCAGUAGUAGAGAGACUUGUCUGCUACAAAUACUGUAUUUGGCCAUUUGAGUAGGCAAGUGAGGUGAUGGAUACCUCUGAAGUAAUGAGAUCCCCUCUCCAAAAUCCUUAUCCUGUACAUCCAUUUGAAGAUUAAGGGAAAAUGUGCCUUUGUGUCUGUGACCAAACAAAACUAGGAGCCCUUAGUCUGAAGGUUGUUAUCUAUUUUGUAUCCUACUAGAAACUUUCAUUUUGCUAUUCUCAAACAAUUCCGGUUGUUAAUAUCCUCUUCCCAUUUCUCUGCAGGCUGCUGAGAGUUAUUAAUUUCAUGUAGCUCUGUCUGUUUAUCUGAUGUAAUUUUACUGGGUUUCCUGUGGCUAAUCACAGGGCAGAAUCUGGAAAAUUACUCUUUUUAAGGACGACUUCUAUUGUUGAGAUAAUUAGGCCAAAAAUCAGAAUCCCAGAUCAAAAUGCUUGUGUUCUUUUGGAGCAUUCAGAGCUCUGGAGAAAUUGGAUUUCAUCUGUUUAAUGCACAGAGAGGAAAAGGGUGAUCAGGUCCCUGGCGAUAAUGUCAGACAUCAGGGUUCUGACAGGCAGAGCUGAGCACUUCAUUAACUCCUGCUCUGCCCCUCUGACCCCUGCAGGCUCCCUAGACCCACAGCCUGAGCCGAGUUUAACUGAACUAACCAUCAGGUACAGCAUGUACCUCCUCAUUUUACAGAGAAACAAAUGCAUUUAUUCCAUCACACAAGAAGAGCCAGAGAUCAAUAUUCUGUUAGGUAUAUUGUUAUUGGUACACUGGUCAGCCACCAUAAGGUAAAGAUAGGGGUGGUUUUACAUGCAGUUAGCCCUUUGCUCCUGAUCUGGGAACAUCCUAAAGAAGUCAAAGCAUCCUGAGGCCUUAAAGUCUCCUACUGCCCUUAAUCUGACGCUAACUUUUUGUGCUUCCUCAUACAGACCCUCUUGCCUUUUACCUUGUUUUCCAACUCAAAACAGGGAAAAUGAAGUCACCACUAUGCUCUUCUCUGGAUGCAUAGGGAAUGUGGCCGUGAAGCUUGGUAACUGUACUGUCAGUAUCUAUACAACGCAAAGCUACCUUUUAGAAAUUCAGAUUCUAUAAAUAUACUGCACUGUUCUGCCAUCAGCAUGUACUGAGCUUUUCUCAAUCCAAAGUCCUUUGUUAUUUUUAGCAAAUCAGAAUCAGUGGUAAUGCAUUUGGGGUAAGGCAAGGGGAGUGGAAGUGGGCACUAAGAAGAAUAGAAAAGCUCCACGUGAUUUAUUGUAGAGUCAAGGCCAUUAAACACUGGCCUAUUCAAUAAAGAAAAACAACCACAGUGUACAAAACAAUUUCAAAUCUAGACACACCUGUAGUUCUGACAUGCAUAGCCAAGCUGCUAUAGCCAGAUCGAGCAUUUCUAAAUCUCAUUGUGACAGAAAGGAAGUGUAUUUCUUGGCCAGAACUGAGAGCGCUGAACAGCCUCCCUCACAGUCCCUGCUUGUCCUGGUGUUGUUUUUGGAGCUUCCUGAUUUGCAGUCGUUAAGGUAUUGUCGCAUUUCCUGUGGAGUUCAGUCCCCCUAAUGAGCAAGUAAGAUUGAACCGUUUGCAGAUCUACACCUAAAACUCUUCUCAGUUACUGCCUACUUAAGGGUGAUCGAAGUUCCGGAGCCUGCAAGCUGCUCAUUCCAGAGGGACCUUUUCCUCCCCCUGGAGUCAACUGGAUUGAUAACACAUCUACACUUCUGACAUCUGCUUCAGUGGAUCAACUUGCAAGACUAGCUCCGGGUUGCUGGGGUUUUAUUUUAAAUAUAUCUAAAGAUGUCCAUAAUUUCCUAAUGAAAAGCAAGCAAGCAAGCAAGCUGAAAGCUGUAUUUUUUUUAAAUGAGAAGGUAAUAAAAACCAAGUCUGAGUAUUUUGAUAGAUAUGCUGGAAGAGUAUAUAAUGUAGCAAAGAAUUGCACUAUUUUUUCUAUUGUCUGAGCACCUAAUUUGAGAAAUAUUUAUUCCUUCUCUAACAAAGACCCCUUUCAGUUCUGAAGUUACAAUUUGGAAGGAGUGGAGUGGAAAGCCUCAGUGAAAUUUUAAACUAAUGUAAAUAAAUCUAGUAGCUGGCUUUGUGAGCUAGCCUAUAACAUUUGUUUUUCAGUUAUCGCAAAUAUUGCCUAAUUGCUUGAGGGGGUUUUGUUAGUUCUUGGGGUUUUUUUCCAAAAUAAGCUAAAUAGUGACACUUCUGAAAGCAUCUGUACUUCGCACAAAAUCACAAUCUCAUGAAUAUCACAUCCUUCAGCUCAUGUAAAACAGCUUUACAGGAGCCCUUUAGUAUGCACUAUUAUUUUUUUAUUAAUAAUCCUUGACAAUUUAACCCUCUUGUGCUUUCUGUCUGCUACCGUUUUGUACACCAACAGAUUUGCAGGGCUUCUCUGUGUUGUUUUUGUAAUAGAUGGGUUGGUUUAAAGGAAAACCUUUACUCUUGUAAUCAUAGUUCUUGAAAUGUGGAUCUCUUAUCUGUAAAGAGAAAAACAACUUUUUAAAAAUGUCCUCUGUUUUCUCUAAAUUUACUGUAAUCAGCAAGUUUAGUUGACAGAAGUGUAUUCUUUUAAGCUCCUGUUAUGUUGUUUUCCAGUUAUUGACUGUUUUCACUAUGUGUGUACUUAGUACUGGUUCAUUCUUUUACUAUGGUGAAAACGACAAGUUUUGUUAAUAUCAGUUGGAAGUUGUGGUUUUGGAUAAAGUUCUUAAAAU